rnacentral:rRNA from 1 species
CCUAACCCAUGCAWGUCGAGCGGGURACAAGAAGUAGCUUGCUACUUUGCUGACKAGCGGCGGACGGGUGAGUAAUGCCUGGGAAUAUGCCUUGAUGUGGGGGAUAACUAUGGAAACGAUAGCUAAUACCGCAUAAUGUCUUCGGACCAAAGAGGGGGAUCUUCGGACCUCUCGCGUCAAGAUUAGCCCAGGUGAGAUWAGCUAGUUGGUGGGGUAAGAGCUCACCAAGGCGACGAUCUCUAGCUGGUCUGAGAGGAUGAUCAGCCACACUGGAACUGAGACACGGUCCAGACUCCUACGGGAGGCAGCAGUGGGGAAUAUUGCACAAUGGGCGAAAGCCUGAUGCAGCCAUGCCGCGUGUAUGAAGAAGGCCUUCGGGUUGUAAAGUACUUUCAGUCGUGAGGAAGGGUGUGCAGUUAAUAGCUGCACAUCUUGACGUUAGCGACAGAAGAAGCACCGGCUAACUCCGUGCCAGCAGCCGCGGUAAUACGGAGGGUGCGAGCGUUAAUCGGAAUUACUGGGCGUAAAGCGCAUGCAGGUGGUUCAUUAAGUCAGAUGUGAAAGCCCG